rnacentral:rRNA from 1 species
UGGGGAAUAUUGCACAAUGGGCGCAAGCCUGAUGCAGCCAUGCCGCGUGUAUGAAGAAGGCCUUCGGGUUGUAAAGUACUUUCAGCGGGGAGGAAGGGAGUAAAGUUAAUACCUUUGCUCAUUGACGUUACCCGCAGAAGAAGCACCGGCUAACUCCGUGCCAGCAGCCGCGGUAAUACGGAGGGUGCAAGCGUUAAUCGGAAUUACUGGGCGUAAAGCGCACGCAGGCGUUUUGUUAAGUCAGAUGUGAAAUCCUAGGGCUCAACCUGGGAACUGCAUCUGAUACUGGCAAGCUUGAGUCUCGUAGAGGGGGGUAGAAUUCCAGGUGUAGCGGUGAAAUGCGUAGAGAUCUGGAGGAAUACCGGAGGCGAGGGCGGCCCCCUGGAAGAAGACUGACGCUCAGGUGCGAAAGCGUGGGGAGCAAACAGG